rnacentral:lncRNA from 1 species
CUCCCCAAAUACAAUGAUACAAUAGGAUCUUUUAAAAGCAACUUCAGAACUCCAGGACAAAAAGAAGAAAAAUCAGAUGAGGUCAGAUGUGAAAUCAACACACAGAAGGCACAUCAUGAAGUCUAUGGCCUGAGUUGGCAGUAAUACAAAGGCAAUGCAGGAUACCCUUGCCCAGAAGCACAGCAAUUUCUGGUUACUGGAUACAGUGAGUCCCAGAGAAAUGAUUAGUCUAAGUCAAUCCAGACUGCCUCACAAGUCAGAAAUGAAGAGAAGGGCCAGAUGGAAGCUUGGCAAGAUGGACUAAAGCCCAGACUCCAGUUUUCUUCACUUCUCAUGCUCACUCUUCUUUAAUUAAUGGUGAUAUUGUCGAUGCUAACCCUUUCUUUCCUUCAGUAGAAGUCGUUGCUGUGAGUUGUCUCCUCACUGAUGGAAACAUACUCACUCUUGGGAAUCAACAGAACAUCCUAGCAAAUUGAAACCACAGCAUUCACCUAAUGAAUGGAAUUCUUCUUGGUGAAAAUCCAGCUACUUCAUUAACUAGGAUCGAACCAUACACUCAGCUUCAUUAGGUUCAUGUCUAUUCAACUGAAAUAUCCAGCCCCAAAGACACUGAAAUGCAAGUUAUAUGGGCAGAACAAUUCUGAGGAUUCAUGGAAACAUAUACCUUCUCUGCUCAGAAAUAGAUAUUAAAAUAGGUAAGAGGAUAUCAUAGGGAAAAAAGAUUACUGCUAACAAGAACAAGGGGAAAAAAUGGCAAAAGGAAAUUAGAGAAUUUGAACAUUUUACCUGAAUUCAUCCAAGUCUCACCACUGAAGAACAGGCUGUUGACAACUUUCUCGAGAGUUUACACGGCAAAGCCCCUGCUGGAUAAUCCACCGUCCCAGGUCUAAGCAUUCACAUCAAAAACAAAACAGACUCUCAGCAGGCAUAACUACCUUUUGAAACUGAUUUAGGACGUAAUUUAAAUGCUUUCUGAAAUCACAGGGUUUUUUUUUUUUAAUGCAUUCAUCCUGUCUCUACCUCCUUACCUCUCAAUUCUUUUUCUCUAUUGUAGAAAAAAAAGAAGGUUAGCAAAAUUUGAAGAAGAAGGUUAAAAGGUGAGCUGUAUUGCGGAGAUAAAUAAGUUCACAUUCCCCUGGCCAUGACUCCCUGGGCUGUACAAUUUGAAGAGAGAAUAAAAUGAGUCUCAUCUUUCGCA